GACGAACGCUGGCGGCGUGCUUAACACAUGCAAGUCGAACGAAGUGGCGAACGGGUGCGUAACGCGUAAUCAACCUGCCCUUCAGCGGGGGACAACAGUUGGAAACGACUGCUAAUCCCGCAUACUGAAGGAGUGGAUUGCGUCUGAUUAGCUAGUUGGAGGGGUAACGGCCCACCAAGGCGAUGAUCAGUAGCCGGGCUGAGAGGAUGAACGGCCACAUUGGGACUGAGACACGGCCCAGACGACUACGGGAGGCAGCAGUGGGGAAACUUCCGCAAUGGACGAAAGUCCGACGGAGCAACGCCGCGGGAGGGAUGACGGCCUUCGGGUUGUAAAGCUCUGUUAAGCGGGACGCGGUACCCGAAGAGAAAGCCACGGCUAACUACGUGCCAGCAGCCGCGGUAAUUC
rnacentral:rRNA from 1 species